UUGUGACGAACAAUUGAUGCAUAUUGCCACGUGGUUGUUUUCUGGCCGACCAUUUCAUAUCAUUAUUUACGGGAAUUUUACAAUCAUUUCAUUUUACAAGAAAUACUUCAACCGGGCCUUCAUAAAGCUUGCCGCUAUCGUGUCAUGUCCGAAAUAAACGCCAGUCACAAUUUUACUAAAAAUUCAACAGUCUAAAAAGCUCAGACAGUGCGUACUUUUUGUUGCUCUCAAGCCUAAGUUUAUAGAAAAUUACUAACAUUGGGAAAUGUUGAAACGUUUCAAACGAUACAGAGAAUUGUUCGAAGUUAGUAACCCCUCCUACCAAACCACACCAAACAUCCCAGAGGAGAUAAGAGAGAGGCUUACACCAGAGGACAAACACAGAAUCUUGAAAUUCGAUCCGAUGUACAAGAGAAUCGAAGUAGCUGCAGGCACGCAAACGUGAAGAUUAUAUCCAGUUACAGUUACCAACACGUAUAAAUAAUAUGGAGCAGCUUAGAUUAAUUGGAUAGGAAGAAAUUAGCUUAACCGGUAAAUGUCGGUAAAUACAGCAUGUUUCAUAGGAUUAGAGAAACAGCGAAAUGUACGAUAUGCGGUAAUUGCGAUCUAGAAAGCAAAGAGUUAUAUGCUAUACAAAUUUCCAGUGCUGAACGUGCAGAUUGCAUAUUAUAACGGAAUAUGCCGGAGUACUAUUAAUAACCAAAGAAGAACGAGUGAAAUCAAUAUACGUAUUACUUUACACAAAUAAUGCUAAAACUAUGAGUCUUGUGCUUAAGUAAAGUUAAAUGAGAAUUUAAAAUGAGAAAAAUCUCUGUGGACACCUAGAUAAGACUGCGAUAGACGAAAGCUCGUAGAAGGCUAUUAUUGUGUUAUUAAUGACUCAUCAAACACGAAACGAGGAUAUCCGAGAUUUAACUUUUGAUAAAAUCUUAUUUAUGAGAAGUCAAAUUGCAAUAUUUCUUAUUGCAUUCUUACGUAACAGUAUUUACAUUUGUAUUCUUUUCAACGGAGGACAUAUCAAACGGAUUAUUGUUCUCUUGACUUUCAACAAUGCUUAUUUAUAAUUUAUAAACAGCAACACAUCGUGUAGAUAUGUGUCACGUGUUCUCAUUGUCACUCGUUCUUGCCCUCGGAAAAUUUGCAAGACAAUUUUUAAGUCUUAUUAAGAAGAGUCACGGUUUUUACACUUUUUAAGAAGAAAUUACACUUGAAAUGUUGGCAAUG